CAGAACGAACGCUGGCGGCGCGUUUAAGCAUGCAAGUCGAACGGUACCAUCCUUCGGGAUGGCUAGAGUGGCGAACGGGUGAGUAACACGUAGGUGAUCUGCCCUUGAGUUGGGGAUAGCCCAUGGAAACAUGGGGUAAUACCGAAUACGCUCGCGACCCUGUGGGGAUGUGAGGAAAAGCGCUUCGGCGCUGCUCGAGGAUGAGCCUGCGGCUGAUUAGUUAGUUGGUGGGGUAACGGCCUACCAAGGCGACGAUCAGUAGCCGGCCUGAGAGGGUGAGCGGCCACACUGGGACUGAGAUACGGCCCAGACUCCUACGGGAGGCAGCAGCUAUGAAUCUUCUACAAUGGACGAAAGUCUGAUAGAGCGACGCCGCGUGGGUGAUGAAGGCCGGAAGGUUGUAAAGCCCUUUUCUAUUCGAGGAAUACGGUGUGGAGGCAAUGCCACACUGAUGACGGUAGGGUAGGAAUAAGCCCCGGGCAAUUACGUGCAAGCAGCCGCGGUAACACGUAUGGGGCGAGCGUUGUUCGGAAUCAUUGGGCGUAAAGGGCG
rnacentral:rRNA from 1 species